GCCUAGAUAGCUUAGUUGGUAGCGCGUCUGCCUUGUAAGCGCUAGGCCGCGGGUUCGAUUCCCGCCCGGGGCG
rnacentral:tRNA from 1 species